rnacentral:rRNA from 1 species
GGGGAUAACGUUUGGAAACGAACGCUAAUACCGCAUGAUAUUAUUGAGCUGCAUGGCUUGAUAAUCAAAGGAGCAAUCCGCUGAAAGAUGGGCUCGCGUCCGAUUAGGUAGUUGGCGGGGCAACGGCCCACCAAGCCGACGAUCGGUAGCCGGACUGAGAGGUUGAACGGCCACAUUGGGACUGAGACACGGCCCAGACUCCUACGGGAGGCAGCAGUGAGGGAUAUUGGUCAAUGGGGGAAACCCUGAGCCAGCAACGCCGCGUGAGGGAAGACGGUUUUCGGAUUGUAAACCUCUGUCCUCUGUGAAGAUGAUGACGGUAGCAGAGGAGGAAGCUCCGGCUAACUACGUGCCAGCAGCCGCGGUAAUACGUAGGGAGCAAGCGUUGUCCGGAUUUACUGGGUGUAAAGGGUGCGUAGGCGGCUUUGCAAGUCAGAAGUGAAAUCCAUGGGCUUAACCCAUGAACUGCUUUUGAAACUGCAGAGCUUGAGUGGAGUAGAGGUAGGCGGAAUUCCCGGUGUAGCGGUGAAAUGCGUAGAGAUCGGGAGGAACACCAGUGGCGAAGGCGGCCUGCUGGGCUCUAACUGACGCUGAGGCACGAAAGCGUGGGUAGCAAACAGGAUUAGAUACCCUGGUAGUCUACGCUGUAAACGAUGAUUACUAGGUGUGGGUGGACUGACCCCAUCCGUGCCGGAG